GAAAGAGAAAGAGAAAGAGAAAGAGAAAGAGGAAAAAAAGAAGGGGAAGAGUUUUCCUACUUCUUUCUUGUGUUCUUCUUCCGUUUUCUCUUUCUUGAGUCUUUACUUUUUCCU
rnacentral:ribozyme from 13 species